CAUGAUAGCGCACAUCAGCAGGUCAAAGCGUAAUGAAUCAUCAAACGAGUUGUGACUGAGCUCCACGGAUGAGGUCACCUUCACAUGGGUCAGUAUUAAAAUGAAGCAAUUGAAUCGUCAAAAGAAUCUUAUUUCGUAGAUUAUUCUCUACUUUCUCCAUCUUCCGUGCAACACGCGUACCGGUAAUCAAUAAUUCAUAGCAGACUGAUCACGCGCCAUCUAGCGAGGACAAAAGGAAAAUAAAUUCGGUAAAAAUCCAACGAGAGGAGCUUCAUCGUAAUCCGUUUUAUUGGCUGUUCUCGAGACGUUUCCAUGUAACACCCAUUGAAAUUGUGUUGUGAUUUUUGUUUCUUUUUGUACAAAGACGACGAACACAUCGAGCCGGACCAGCUUCGACGUGUUUGCCAUAGCCCUAAAAGAGUGAAACAAUAAAAAAAAAAUGAAAGUAAAAGAAAUGGAA